rnacentral:rRNA from 1 species
UACGGGGGGGGCUAGCGUUGCUCGGAAUUACUGGGCGUAAAGGGCGCGUAGGCGGCUCGGCACGUCCGUUGUGAAAUCGCCCGGCUCAACUGGGCGGGGUCAGCGGAUACGGUCGAGCUUGAGCAAGCUAGGGGGCAAUGGAAUUCCCGGUGUAGUGGUGGAAUGCGUAGAUAUCGGGAGGAACACCAGUGGCGAAGGCGGUUGCCUGGAGCUUUGCUGACGCUGAGGCGCGAAAGCGUGGGGAGCGAUCCGG